AAAUAUUAACUAUAUUAAUUUAACAUUUUAAAUAUAUUAGAUUGUCAAAAUUUAAGCAAAUAUAACGAAUAGAUACACAUAUUUGCAAAAGAAAAAUGAAAGCGCACCUACAGGUUAGUUACUGACUUAUUCCGCUGCUGGGUGCUGCAGUGUUGUCCCUUUUCCUGCAAGCAUGCAUGCAUGCAUGCAUAGCAUAGGCCAUGGGCAGCGGACAAUGGUGCGGUUUGUGGGGCGUGGUGGGUCGUGCGACGUCGCAUCGCAACUUUGCAAGUAAAAAAAAGGAACAUCUCUAUCUCUAUGGAGGAAGGGUCACUGUUUUUUCUCCUUCGUUCGUUUGGAUACCCCUGGAUUUUGGACAUCCAAAAUCUAGAAUCCACGCAUGCUCCAAACGGGACAAGAUUCAGCUUAGGGUUUUGCAACCAGGAUUCUAGAUUCUGGAAAUCCUGGAAGCUGGAUUGGGGAGCAUCUGGCAGCUAUUGGAUAGAGAAAUUACCCUAUCAAGACACUCCCCUCUUACCCUUUCGGUAAGACCAUUACAAGCUAAAGUUUAUAAUUAAUUAGUCAAGAUCAGAGCCAUGUAGUAUUGUGGUUGGUUUUUCUGGGUAGUUUUCCAUGUUCCAAUUAACAAUGAUCUUAAAAGCUAUUACCAAAAAGUAUUUCAGAACAUGAAGUUAAACAAGUGCAGCGUAAUUUUUAGGUUAUCCAACCAAAGUCUAAAUAAGAACAACUAGCUACGACAUAAAUAUAACAAUCCAGGUUUAAUCAAGAAAGUUCAAAAAAACUAGGCACAUCUUUAGUUUGGGAUCCAUCAUAUUAUAGAUACAUGCAUGCAUAUAAAGUAAAUAUAUGUAUUUAGAAAGUUAUUAGGACCGAAGUAUGAUCAAGG
rnacentral:lncRNA from 1 species